UACGUAGGGGGCAAGCGUUGUCCGGAAUCAUUGGGCGUAAAGAGCGUGUAGGCGGCUUGGCAAGUCUGGUGUGAAAUCUUGCGGCUCAACCGCAAGCGGUCACUGGAAACUGCCUCGCUAGAGUCCGGAAGAGGAGAGCGGAAUUCCUGGUGUAGCGGUGGAAUGCGUAGAUAUCUGGAGGAACACCGGUGGCGAAGGCGGCAUCCUGGACCAAUUCUGACACUGAGGAGCGAAAGCCAGGGGAGCAAACGGG
rnacentral:rRNA from 1 species